CCAAAAUCAUUCUCAUACCCAGUUAUCAAGGAUGCCUUGAUCGAAGGAUAUCCCAACCGAGUCCGCCAAGGCUAUUAAAAAGUUAUGUACGCAUAAAUCAUGUUUUUAUUUUGAAAACAUAAUCGUUCUUUGGCGUUGGUUGAGUUCCCCCUCACGUGGUGGUUUGACGUGAAGUGAACUCUAAAAGUGUUAGGCUCAGGAGUUAUCCACCCGCGCCUCUCAUACUGAGGUAAGAUAUAACGGGAUUUACCGUGCCCCUUUAAUAGGCUGGUCCACGAAAACCCACCCACUGCAGUAAGCUAAUAAUUAUCCCACCAAUCAAUAAAAUUCAAUAACAUGAUAUGGCAAUUAUUGUAAUUCACAGCCUUUCAAGGCUAAAUACACAGUUCAUAAAUUUGAACACAAAUACCAAUUCAGCCAUUCAUGCAAAUAUUGUCAUAAGCCAUUCGAUUCAAACCAUGAAUUUACAACACAUGAAAUGGUCUCCAAUUACUCUAUUUUCAAAGCCAUUAUUCAAUUUCAAGACCAUUUAUGAAAUCAUUUUAUUUAAACACAUUUUAUUUAUAAAACCUAAAAAUUUACCAUUUAAACUCAUUUUCCAUAAAAUCACAAAAUCGGAUAAAAACCACUCUAGAUAAUUAAGAUGAUAGUAAGGUUACUCACAAUGUCUAGAGUGUGGAUUUUCGAAGUACUCUGACUACUGGUCCUUGAAUGCAAUUUCCUUGCCUUUAUCGAAGGACUCAUCACCUUGACAUAGUACAAAAUCGAGAAACUUACUACAUUGGUACUAAAUCGAAAUUAAACUAAUUUAGACUACUAAUGCAUGAUAUGGAAUGCAAAAUGCACAAGUAACCAUCUAAACCCGGUAUUGGCCUAAUUCGUCUUAUCACCCGAUUAAUUGGCCAACGCGCCCAAUUUAGCUCCAAAUUGCACCAUUUCUUUUCCAAGACCUCAAUUCACCAAACACAAGUCAAAUAACCUAAAAUUUGGCAAAACCAUCUUCAUUUUUCUUCUUAGAAUUUUCGGUCAAUAAUGGUGCAUUAACAUCGUGAUGUUUCCUACUACUUUUCCACACCAUAAUUCAUCAUUUUCUAACCAAUUCUCUUAAAAUAAAAAAAUUCAAAUUCAUCCUCACUCAAUACAAGGUAGGUUCGACCAUUGAUGGGUGAUGAGGAAAAUGAAUUCUUUUCUUGUUGUUUUGCUUCUAGACAUGGUAAACUAACUAAAAACACUAAGAUAACUUGAAAUCAAAUCAAUCCAACAUCAUUCUCUCUCCAUACCCAUUCAGCUAGCCAUGACUUCACCAUGAAAACAUGAAAUUUGACCAUGGAAAAUAAGGAGAAAUGCUUAAGGAAAAUAGAUUUCAAGUUUAAAUUGAGAAAUCCUACCUUUUUCACUUGUUUCCUUGAUUUUCCACACUUUUUCUCUUGAAAUUCUCCACGUAGGGUUCUUGUUCUUUCUUU
rnacentral:lncRNA from 1 species